GCAGACUCACUGUGCACUUGGCUGCAGGCUCCAAGGUGCUUUUUCCAUCUGCCAGAGAACCAUUCCAGGGAGCUGGGGCAGCCUUGGCCUGUCAGGAGCGUGAUGCAGCUUCCUGGGAACUUAGAA
rnacentral:snoRNA from 1 species